CGGACCACAUUGUAUGAUGCACACAAAGCAGGGACUUUUGAAGCAAAUCGCCAGCUGAAAAACAAGCUCACGUGUUAUCAAAAUGAAAAACAUGAAGAACUGGAACAAAAAGGAAAAGGGGAAGCAUGAGAAAUUUAAGAAAAGAGAGAAAUGUGUGGUCAUGUUCAACGAUAACGAGCGACAGGAGUAUCUGACAGGAUUCCACAAGAGGAAGGUGGAGAGGAGGAAAGCAGUAGUGGUGGAAAUCCAGACCAAGAUAAAGGAGGAGCAGAAGAGAGUCUAAGAAGAGAGACACAAGGAGUAUUUGAAGUUGCUGCAGGAAAGAAAAGAGGCUCUCGAUGAGGAUGAUGAUGAUGAAUUGGAGGAUGUAAUAACGGGCACAACCGAGUCUGUACAGUACGAUCACCCCAACCAUACUGUUACCGUAACAACCAUCAGUGACCUUGACCUCACGGGGGCCAGCCUCUUUGCGCCAGAAACCAAUCAGGUUACUGAGGAGGUGGAGGAGCAGGAGAAAAUGAGUGCUAUGCCAAAGUUAUCUGGGAAUCCGAUCCUCAAUAAAAAAAUCUGCUCACUGAACGCCUCGCUCCACGCUCACCAGACGCAGCGGAAGGGAAGCAGGAAGGGGAAACAGGAAGGCAAAGGACGAGGCCGGCCAACAGACAAGAAGCCAUGUUCCACAGACAAGAAGGGCAGAAUUGAAAAGAACAGAGUUGGGAGGACCAGCAAGAAGCAAAGACGCAGACUGACUGGGAAGAGACAUCACAAGGACUGAGAGUUAUGAAAAAAUAGAUUUGCAGUGUAAGGGUCUGUCUGGCCUCUUUGUUUGAUCAGGAUCCUAAGCAGCCAUGAUGGACAUUUACAGUUUCUAUGGUCCCAGUUGGGAAAGUCUACAGAGCAAACAAAUACACAAACUGCACAUAUUCAUUCUCAUUGAAAGCCAAUGUCUGCUCGAUCCAGAGUGGCCGUUUCAAACACUGUUUUGUUUAACCAAUUGGACACGACCUGUCUGUUUCCUUUGUUAGGCUCUCUCCUUUCUACAUGUUUGUUUAUAUGCUAACUGCUUUGGUAUGUUGUAUUCAUCCAAUGUGUAUAUGCUCAAAGUUUGAUUAAAAGAAAAGGAUAUAUACGAAUCACUUGGAAACCUGACUCCUCAGUCAACAUCCUUUUCCGAGCAUCAGAGAAGAGAUCUUUACGUGUGUAUUUCUAGACAUUAUAGUACCCCAUGCCCUCAUUUGUUUAGAUUUCAAGAAAUGUGGUAUAGUCAAGGAUCUUAGUGUAUGCUAAUCUCAUACCUUAGCAGUGUUUAUUUAUUUACACUAACCUGAGCUAACGCGUGCCAUCUGUCACAAGCAGUUAAUUUUGCUUUCUAAAGCUCAUGAUAUCUAAUACAACCUUCAAUAGAGUAACUCAUGCAAUUGACUCCAUAUUGGUUCUAGGUCUGGCAGACUGAUAGGUUCUCGGUAAUGUUAAGCAGAGCCAACAUGGCAGUCAGAAGUGCAUCAGUUUCAUCCAUUGUCGGAACAGCCAAUCGGAUCCAUGUAAGAGCCUCAGGGGGAUUGUGAGCAGGGGAAGAGGCAUGUGCCGGGGGUCUGAUGGACAGUAUAUUACCUUUCUCUAAAUGGCAUAUUCUCAGUUUAACUGACGGCUGAGAACUCUUCUGUCAGGUAUCGUUGAAAACCCCUUCCUCUCAAAUUUAAAAGAAUAAUUAAAUGAAAAAUAAUACACAUUAAGAAAUCUAGAAAUUAAUUAUUCAAUACUUUGACUUGUAUUUAGAUUUUUAUUGCUGAAAUGUUUUUAAAUUGGGAUGUUACCAAGUGCUCUCGGUGACGUUUAGUAAUGAUAUUAAUGAUAUGCUGGAAAGAGUUCUAUCAUCUUCCUUUCUGUAUUGUGUUUCACUAUACCCUCUUGUGUAAUUAGUUUUCACUUAGCUUAACUGUUCCGUUUUAUCGCACUAACCAUGAAAUAAUGACCCUUUUGUGGAUUAAAUAUGCUACAGCAUUGCUUCCAGCUCUGCUACAUCGUCCUAUAACAACUACGCUGUAAUAAUGUCCCAUCAAUGUCUUACACUGUGUACAUAUAAAUGUUGAAAGGAUUUUAGCUGUUUUUUUUCUCCUCAUGGACUACUGUAUAUUUUUUUGAAAUCCACAAUUUUCCCUGAAGUACUAUUGGUACUACUGUUUUACCACAACCACUUUUUCUACUUUGUGGUGUUUUAGGCUCAUUAAAUACGGUGUUUGGUUUUAUCUGCCUUUACAGCCUGUGUUGUUCCGAGGUAUUCUCCGAGGUGUGCGAUGAGUGAGCGCCUGCCACCUCUGGACUCGCCAUGCCCCUCUCUGGCGAUGACCUUAUCUGUCCCAAGUUCCAGCCCAACAUCUUCGACUCCUCCCGCUGCCACGACUGCCUGCGCCAGAAACACUUGCACUCGGGCACGAGUACAGGCACGGGUACAGCCGAAACACCACAGCAGAGCCUCACAGUGGAGAAGGAGCCAGGGCAAGCCACUGUACCUCUACCAGCACCACAGCUGAGCCUCACAGUGGAGAAGGAGCCCGGGCAAGCCACUGUACCUCCACCAGCACCACAGGCAGUGAAGAGGGAUACC